GAUUGUCAAUGUUUUAUUCAACUGUGUAAAUUUCCAAGAAAAAUUAUAAUUCCCCAAUCAGUCUCAUUCUACCAUUUGGAAUAAUAAGAAAGUCAGUGCUUUUUUUUUUUUUAUCAAUAAGAGGAAAGAAACAAAUUUGAUUUAACAUUUUACACAGAAGAAAAAAUUAGUUCUGUAUCAUCUCCAUCUAUUUCACAUGCCCUUGUACAUGUCCCAUGGGUUUCAUUAAGGGCACAUUAACCACUGCAGC